rnacentral:lncRNA from 1 species
AAAAAAAAAAAAAAAAAAAAAAAAAAGUAGUUCACAUAAAAUGAGACAAAGAGUGUAUGCGAAAAUGAUGAUUUAAUAGAUAUAAAUUUAUUUUAGGACAUAUUAUUAUAUAAAUAUAAAAAUAUUUUAUGAAUCCAAUAGGGGAUAAUAUACAAUGCAAACAAAUGUAAUAUAUACAAACUUACAAACAGUACUGCAUGAACAUAUGUGUGACCUAGACCUAGCAAUCUAUCAUUCUAUAUAAUUCUAUAUGGUAUACGACAAAUCUAAGAGAUGAAAUGCAACAUGUAUGUGUUGUUUCGGUACCCUUAUAACAGACCCUGCAGAUCAUAAUAUUGUGGACUAAACUUAUAAACAAUCAUCAAACAUUAUCCCAUGCAUGUCCGAAUCCAAUUCAUCUACCAUAUUUCCAUCUUCGAAGUUGAUAUCAUGAAACAGGAACUUAUAGUCAUUUUGAUCUUCGCAUUUGGAGUUCACCGUCAUGAUAUCGUUGACACGAGCGAGAGUAGUACUAGUGUCGGUAUGAGGUUGAUGAUGAGAUAAUUGGAGGAAAUUAGGGUUCGUGAGUGAUGGAAAUUGGAGUAGAGUGUUAGGUUGUUGGUAGGAUGGGGGGCCUUGAGGCGUGAAAUGAUUAUAAUGUUGUUGGUGAUGAUAAUAGGAGCCGAGGGGUGGAAUUCGGUUAGACGACACUGGAGAAGUGUCACCAGCUGUUGCCUCUUGAACCUCAAACACAUCUUGUGGGCUCAGUUGGUUGUUGUUCUCUGUCUUGGCUUUGUGAAAUACUCUACACAACACCCAGUCCUCCUGCUUUAAUCAUCAUUUCUCAUUACAUUAAUACUUGUGUAACAAUUAAAAGCAAAUUGCUUGAUAUAAAAACACACAUAAACACUUUCGAAGGUAAGGGUUUGUUUGGGAGUGUUAUUAAAAAUUGCUGUGAUAUCAUAAAAAGUGUUGGUAAAAAAAUGUUGUUGAGAAAUCAGAUAGCUUAAAAAGUUUAAUAUUUUUGAUGAGGUUUUAUAGUGAAAUAUAUGACAACUACCAAGAAAAGCUGAAAAGAGCUAAAAACUAUUGUUGAGAAAUAAGUUACUU